rnacentral:rRNA from 1 species
UACGAAGGGGGCUAGCGUUGCUCGGAAUCACUGGGCGUAAAGCGCACGUAGGCGGCUUUCUAAGUCAGGGGUGAAAUCCCGGAGCUCAACUCCGGAACUGCCUUUGAUACUGGAAAGCUUGAGUUCGGAAGAGGUGAGUGGAACUGCGAGUGUAGAGGUGAAAUUCGUAGAUAUUCGCAAGAACACCAGUGGCGAAGGCGGCUCACUGGCCCGAUACUGACGCUGAGGUGCGAAAGCGUGGGGAGCAAACAGG